CGUUUAGUAGUAACAACGAAUAGUGAGAAGUCAGCCGAGGUCAUAGUAGCUACGUUGUAGCGAAGGAC
rfam:Alloiococcus otitis ATCC 51267 genomic scaffold supercont1.2, whole genome shotgun sequence.